UACGUAGGGUGCGAGCGUUACUCGGAAUUACUGGGCGUAAAGCGUGCGCAGGCGGUUUUGAAAGUCAGAUGUGAAAUCCCCGGGCUUAACCUGGGAAUGGCAUUUGGGACUGCAAGGCUUGAGUGCGGCAGAGGAGACUGGAAUUCCUGGUGUAGCAGUGAAAUGCGUAGAUAUCAGGAGGAACACCGAUGGCGAAGGCAGGUCUCUGGGCUGACACUGACGCUCAUGCACGAAAGCGUGGGGAGCAAACAGG
rnacentral:rRNA from 1 species